rnacentral:rRNA from 1 species
GGCAGUCUGGUGCCAGCAGCCGCGGUAAUUCCAGCUCCAAUAGCGUAUAUUAAACUUGUUGCAGUUAAAAAGCUCGUAGUUGAAUUUCUGCGUUAUCGAGUUAUUGACUCUUGUCUUUAAUCGAUUUCGCUUUUGGGAUUUAUCCCUUUUUACUUUGAGAAAAUUAGAGUGUUUCAAGCAGACUUUUGUCUUGAAUACUUCAGCAUGGAAUAAUAGAGUAGGACUUUGGUUCUAUUUUGUUGGUUUUUGAACCUUAGUAAUGGUUAAUAGGAACGGUUGGGGGCAUUCGUAUUUAACUGUCAGAGGUGAAAUUCUUAGAUUUGUUAAAGACGAACUACUGCGAAAGCAUUUGCCAAGGACGUUUCCAUUAAUCAAGAACGAAAGUUAGGGGAUCGAAGACGAUCAGAUACCGUCGUAGUCCUAACCA